GCAUCAUGAUUUACAUUUGAGUGAGUGGCGAACUGGUGAGUAACACGUGGGAAACCUGCCCAGAAGCGGGGGAUAACACCUGGAAACAGAUGCUAAUACCGCAUAACAACUUGGACCGCAUGGUCCGAGCUUGAAAGAUGGCUUCGGCUAUCACUUUUGGAUGGUCCCGCGGCGUAUUAGCUAGAUGGUGGGGUAACGGCUCACCAUGGCAAUGAUACGUAGCCGACCUGAGAGGGUAAUCGGCCACAUUGGGACUGAGACACGGCCCAAACUCCUACGGGAGGCAGCAGUAGGGAAUCUUCCACAAUGGACGAAAGUCUGAUGGAGCAACGCCGCGUGAGUGAAGAAGGGUUUCGGCUCGUAAAACUCUGUUGUUAAAGAAGAACAUAUCUGAGAGUAACUGUUCAGGUAUUGACGGUAUUUAACCAGAAAGCCACGGCUAACUACGUGCCAGCAGCCGCGGUAAUACGUAGGUGGCAAGCGUUGUCCGGAUUUAUUGGGCGUAAAGCGAGCGCAGGCGGUUUUUUAAGUCUGAUGUGAAAGCCUUCGGCUCAACCGAAGAAGUGCAUCGGAAACUGGGAAACUUGAGUGCAGAAGAGGACAGUGGAACUCCAUGUGUAGCGGUGAAAUGCGUAGAUAUAUGGAAGAACACCAGUGGCGAAGGCGGCUGUCUGGUCUGUAACUGACGCUGAGGCUCGAAAGUAUGGGUAGCAAACAGGAUUAGAUACCCUGGUAGUCCAUACCGUAAACGAUGAAUGCUAAGUGUUGGAGGGUUUCCGCCCUUCAGUGCUGCAGCUAACGCAUUAAGCAUUCCGCCUGGGGAGUACGGCCGCAAGGCUGAAACUCAAAGGAAUUGACGGGGGCCCGCACAAGCGGUGGAGCAUGUGGUUUAAUUCGAAGCUACGCGAAGAACCUUACCAGGUCUUGACAUACUAUGCAAAUCUAAGAGAUUAGACGUUCCCUUCGGGGACAUGGAUACAGGUGGUGCAUGGUUGUCGUCAGCUCGUGUCGUGAGAUGUUGGGUUAAGUCCCGCAACGAGCGCAACCCUUAUUAUCAGUUGCCAGCAUUAAGUUGGGCACUCUGGUGAGACUGCCGGUGACAAACCGGAGGAAGGUGGGGAUGACGUCAAAUCAUCAUGCCCCUUAUGACCUGGGCUACACACGUGCUACAAUGGAUGGUACAACGAGUUGCGAACUCGCGAGAGUAAGCUAAUCUCUUAAAGCCAUUCUCAGUUCGGAUUGUAGGCUGCAACUCGCCUACAUGAAGUCGGAAUCGCUAGUAAUCGCGGAUCAGCAUGCCGCGGUGAAUACGUUCCCGGGCCUUGUACACACCGCCCGUCACACCAUGAGAGUUUGUAA
rnacentral:rRNA from 2 species